UCUCCAUGAUGAGCAGAAAAUGAUGACCAGUCUGAACUCCAUUCUCGUGCUUCGUGAUGUCUACCGAGGCAUUUGACUGAGAGGA